rnacentral:rRNA from 1 species
UACGUAGGGGGCUAGCGUUGUCCGGAAUCAUUGGGCGUAAAGAGCGUGUAGGCGGUCCGGUAAGUCCGCUGUGAAAGUCGGGGCUCAACCCUCGAAUGCCGGUGGAUACUGUCGGGCUAGAGUGCGGAAGAGGCGAGUGGAAUUCCUGGUGUAGCGGUGAAAUGCGCAGAUAUCAGGAGGAACACCUAUUGCGAAGGCAGCUCCGCUGGGACGUAACUGACGCUGAGACGCGAAAGCGUGGGGAGCGAACAGG